rnacentral:misc_RNA from 1 species
UCCGAGUUGACCCCGGCAGUCUCCUAUGAGUCCCCGGCAUAACCCGCUGGCAACAUAGAACGAGGGUUGCGCUCGUUGCGGGACUUAACCCAACAUCUCACGACACGAACUGACGACAGCCAUGCAGCACCUCACCAGGUGCCCGAAGGAGGGCCCCUUUCAGGGCCUGUCACCUGAUGUUCGAGCCUGGGUAAGGUUCUUCGCGUUGCAUCGAAUUAAUCCACAUGCUCCACCGCUUGUGCGGGCCCCCGUCAAUUCCUUUGAGUUUCACCCUUGCGAGCGUACUCCCCAGGUGGAGCGCUUAACGCGUUAGCUUAGACACUGCCCCCCAAUCGGGGCAGCAUCGAGCGCUCAUCGUUUACGGCGUGGACUAC